rnacentral:lncRNA from 1 species
CCUUGGUCCUUUUAGUCCUUAGGUAGAGAAUCUUUCCAUUUCUGAAAAUCAGUGGAAUGAUUCUGAAUCUGCUGUGCUUCUGUCAUCUCUUCUGAAGAAUGCAUACGUGUGUUGCAGUGUUCAGUGAAUAUCCGUCUCCUGGGAAUCGUUCAUGGAAGCUUGGUCCUGAUUUCUUCAGAAGAGAGACCUGUAGUCUAAGUGCAUCCUAGCACCAAGCAGUAUCAGACCAACAGGUAGUCACAAUAAUGUUUGAUGCAUGAUGGAGAGUACCACAGGAUUUACAACUGUUACCAGAGCUGAACUCAGUACUCCAGGUGGGGUCUCUCAAGAGCAGAGUAGAGGGGAGAAUGAAGGUGAAGUCUGGAACAAAGAGCUUUCAAUAGAGAAAAAGAGAAGCCUGUUAACUGCAGACUUGUGAGCACUGAGUGCUGGAGCCUGGCUGAAGACUCUUCAGGCACCUGAGACUCCUGGGUCAAGGCUGGAAGCCCCUCUAGAAGAGGAGAAUAUGGAGGUGGAUCAGUUUGAUAUUUUGGUUUAAACAGGUCUAUCAUUCCUAGAGGAAUAAUGUACUGUGUAUGUCAGCUUUACUCCAGGCUUAACAGAGAAAAUACAAAUGUGAUUUGAAUGAAAGAGAAGAAUAAG